UGCUCUGUGGCUCAGGCUGGAGUUCCCUGCCACAGUCAGAGCUCAGUGCAGCACUGACUCCUAGGCUCAGCAGAUCUUCCCACUCUGCCUCCCAAGUAGCUGGGACUACAGAUAAUGGUUCUCACAGAGGCCUCUGGCUGUGAAAAGUGACAUCUCAGUGGAUUUAUCUGGAAGGUCAGAGGAGGGAAUCCGACCUCAGGAAAACAAGAAACUCGGAACUCCACUGGGGACCCCCAAUGAAGAGAUCAGCCAACAUGCAGACCUCAGGUAAGUGGGAAGUGAAGAUGAACUUUAACCGUCAUCUUUUGUUGUAAGUUUCUUCCUGGGGGUCUUGGAGAAAGUCACUCACCCUAGCCAGUUGGCAUUCUUCUACUGGUUGGUAAGGUAACUAUGCCUGUAAUGCUAGCACUUUGGGAGGCCAAGGUGAGAGGAUUGCUUGAGGCCAGGAGCUUGAGAUGAGCUGAGAAACAUAGUGACAUUCCAUCUCACUAUGUGGUUUUUUUUUUUUUUUGAAAAAUUAAAAAAUUAGGCACUGGGGUGCACACCUGUGGUCUCAGCUGCUCAAGAGGCUGAGGCAGGAGGCUGCAGUGAGCUAUGAU
rnacentral:lncRNA from 13 species